UUCACCAAAAUACUGCAGGGAACAGGGAGGUGCUCGGAGAGGGAAGAACAGAACUUGGCAGAGGAGAGUGAAUCCAGAGACUUCUCUGGAGAGGCUCCAGGCUUGUGAGCCCCAGGAAUCCCCCUGAGGGAGGGCAGCCACCAGGGCUGCUGUCACCUGCUCUUGAGCAGGUCUGGCCGUGGUGGCCCUGUGGUGGCACAGGCUGGCACCGGGCUGUCCGUGCCAGGGGAAAAUCCUCCUAGGGAAUUUGCUCCAAUCUAGAGCUCAAUUUCUUCUAAUUUCUGUCAAAUCAGGCGGCCCUUUUAAACCUUGCUGGGGAACACUGCUUGAGAUCUGCUAAUGGAAAAACUCCCACCGAGGCACGGGAUUCUGGAGCUGGGACCCGGAGCUGGAUUCCUCUGACAGAUUCCCCUGUAAGCUCCUUAGGAAGGGCCACACCAGCUGUUGAAGAAUGAAGAUUACAACGUCCUGCUAACGCAGCGCUGGGGAUAUUUAAGCAUGAUCAAAUCACCAGGCAACAGAUAUAAAUAAAAAAAGGCAGGAAAUAAGGAAAUUUAGAUACAAGUGUGUCAGAGGGAAAAUGAAGAUUCAUUGUGAAGAGGCUGAGAAGAGAAGAAGAAGAAGGAACAAAAUGACAAAGCCACAAAUGAUAAACCAGUAAGAACAAAAGAAAGGGGGGAGAAAAAAGCCUCUCUGU